CAGCAGGUUGCGGCAACUGGGUCCCCUGUAUAGAGCGUAAAUGGAAAAAUGGUAUGGAGACAGCUGCGUGGAUCCCGAGCCUGUAGCAGGUAAAAAGAGAGCCUCAAGAAUGCAUACAAGCCUCUUUGCAAACAGCUGAACUUUACGUCGUGUAACCUUACCCGCAGUGAAAAUACGACAUUGCCUUGGCUCUUCCUUUAUGACCCGAAUUUCGAGCUGCGUGUCGAUGAUAAUAACAAAGAAAAUGUGUCGGAAGAUUGUAAAAAAUAUUAUGACGAAAGAAGGGAAAAAUUUCGAAGACCUGAUUACGUCGUCUACACAGAAAUAUGUGUAAGCGUCAGUCGCAGCUGGCGAAUAAUCGCUGAAUUGUUAUCUGUUUCAUAACGUAGAUAUUAGGUUUUUUUAGCAUGAUUGAGGUGAUGUAGAAUAUCGUUUUUGUUAUUUUAUGAAAUGGAUCAAAUAGCUACCAUAAUAAAGAGAUAUAUUCAAGAAGUA